rnacentral:lncRNA from 1 species
AGCUCUCGUUGCCCAGGCUGGAGUGCAAUGGUGUAAUCUUGGUUCACCACAACCUCUGCCUCUCAGGUUCAAGUGAUUCUCCUGUCUCAGCCUCCCAAGUAGCUAGGAUUACAGGCAUGUGCCACCACGCCCUGCUAAUUUUGUAUUUUUAGUAGAGACGGAUGGGGUUUCACCAUGUUGGUCAAGCUGGUCUCGAACUCCUGACCUCAGGUGAUCUGCCCCUAUUAGCCUCCCAAAGUGCUGGGAUUACAGUCAUGAGCCACCGCACCUGGCCCCAAACUUUUUUUUUUUUAAGCAAAGAAAUUGUUUCCUGGAUAACCUCACAUAAAGCAUCCCAGUAUGUAAAGCAGAUAAUAGUGUUGGAAGUGACAACCUGGAAUUCUGUCCAUGGGGACUCUUCUCCUUGUACUCCCACACACAGAAACCCUUCAGCUUAUGCUUCCAACGUCAGUGUCCAAAGAAACUUUAGACAAAUCCAGCCCCUUCAUUCACAGAUGGAGACAUUAUUGUUAGUUGUAGUAAAUGUUAGCUAACUACCAGUACUUACACUUUAAACGUGCCUGGCAUAGGAGAAUGAUUUUAUAUGUCUGAUAGUAUCAAAUCCCCACAACUACCUGAUAAACUAAGUAUUAUAAUGACCCUCAUUUUGCAGGUGAGUAAACAGAAGUCUAGAGAGGUACAAUCACUUCCGAAAGUCACCCAGCUGGUAAGUGGUGAAGGCAGAAUUCAGAGCCCAGUGUGGCUGACUCAAUAGCCUGUGCCAUCCACCCCUACAUGAGUUGCCCAGGGAGGUUAGAGACUGUCCCACAGUCUCAUAGGAGCUGAGCAGGGACAACGAGGUGGCCUGGUGUGGAGGGAAGGUCACGGGUGUGUGGGGCUGGAGCUCUGGGUCCAAGAUGUUCAUCAGCUGCCUGUCCUGGCUGGUAAGAGACUGAGGGUGAGUGGUCAGUGAGCAUGAGAGGGGGAAGGGAGCCUUGGGAGACCACACUGGAGAACCUGGAACUAGGGAGCUAUAGCAGGUGUCUGAGCUAGAGAAUUAAUCCUACUGUUGGCUGCACAUCAAUAUUGGGACAAUAGGCCCAGAUGUGUCAUUCCUAAUAAUCACAAUGGGGCAGGAUGGUGCUCAAAGCACUUUACUGGCAUGAUCUUAAUCAUCACAAAGCCUCUAUGAGAGAGGUGAUGUCAUGAUACCCAUUUUACAGAUGAGGUCGCUGGGGGCUCAGGGAAGUGAAGUGCUUUGUCCAGGGUCACGUGGCUGAAGAGUGGGGGAGCUGACACUUGAAGCCAAGACUGGCUGACUUUCAAGCCCACAUGCCUCUGUCAGUUAAGUGUGGUGAUGGUAAUGCUGUGUAACAAACAAUCCCCCAAAUCUCUGUGCUGUAGGACAGUAAGUGUUGAUUUAGCUCGCAUGUCUAAUGUGGGUUGGCUGAGCCAGGCUGGGCUCAGCUGGGCAGCUGUGUGCUCAUCCAUGUGUCUCUCAUCCUGUCCUGGGAUCAGUGGACUAGCCUUGGCAUAUUCCCCUCCUGCUCAUGGCAGGAGUGCAAGGGGGUGAGCAGAAACACACAAAGUCUCUUGAGGCCUAGACUCAGGACCACACAGAGUCACUCCUGCCUCAUUCUAUUGACCCUAGCAAGUCACAGGGCCAAACCCAGGGUCAAUAGGUGGGAAAUGGUACUCUGUUCUUUUAACGGGAGGAACUGCAAAGUCGCUUGGCAAGGGUGAGAAUACAAAGAAGGGUAAAGAAUUGGAGGCAAGUUUUGCAUUAUAUCAUAUUGUCUGUGCUGGUUUAAAAUAUGUUCACACAGUCUUUGAUAAUUCCUUCAAAAGAUGGAGCCUAAUUCUACAUCUCUUGAGUGUGGGCUAGCCUUACUGACUCCCUUUUAAUGAAUAGAACAAAGUGGAAGUGAUGGUGUGCAACUUCCAAGGCAAGGUCAUAAAAGACAUUGUGGCUCCCUCCUCGCUCUCUUGAGGAUCACCCACUCUAGGGAAGCCAGCUGCCAUGUCGUGGGGAUAUUCAAGCAGCCCAGUGGAGAGACCCAUGUGGUGAGGACCUGUGAUCUCCAGCCAGCAGCUGUGUGAGUGGCCUAUCUUGGAAGCAGCUCCUCCAGCCCCAGUUCAGUCUUCAGAUGAGACUGCAGCUGCAGCUGACAUCCUGACUGCAACCUGAUGAGAGACCCAGAGUCAGAACUGCUCAGACUAAAGUUGCUCCUGAAUUUCUGACCCGCAGGAACUGUGAGACAACAACUGUUUAUUGUUUUAAGUUGCCAAGUUCUGGGGUAGAUUUGCUUGCAGCAAUAGAUACGAAUGCUGUGUCUAAGUAUUCUGCCAACUCACUGCUGCCAUAGCAAGGCCCAUCAUAACAAGCGAGGCUUGGAUGGAAGCAGCUUUGUCUUCUACCCAGAGAACCAGCAAAAUCCCAACAAUUUACCAAGAUUAGAGAACCAAAAAUACCCAUGGAAACUAUAGUUGUUAAGAAACAUCUGUUUUUGAGCUGUCUAAAUUGGGUAGUUCUCAAAAGGAAUAAAAAUGUAUCAGAGGAUGGGGACAGCUGGGUGGGGACUGAUGCCAACUGCCUGGCAGGCUCAGCUGGUCACUCGGGUUCCUUCUCAGAGCUGAGGCAGGGAGAAAGAUCCAAAUAAAGAUCUGAUGGGGCAGAUUAGACAGAGCUGCCUGUAGCAAGGCACUGAGGGCUGUGUCCAGCUGCAGGGGCAGUACUUAAGCUUACUGCACCCCUACUAUGUGCCAGGUGCAGGGUGGGCACCUGCAUGUGAGGACCAGGGAUUGGGGUGUUGGAAGAUUUUGGCUUUUGGCCAGGACUAAAGGGUGAGAGGUAGUAUGGAGAAGGAAUUAAGGCCCUGUGGAGAGGCCUGGGCUUAAAUCCUGGCAUUGAUGUUUACCAGCUCUGAGGCUUGUACGUGGCCAAUCACUUAAACACUCUGGGCCAGUUUCCUCAACUGUAAAACGGGCAUAGUCACAGUGCCUACUUGAUCCAUCCUUGUGUUCCUCUCAGGCUUGCUUUGUAAGACUCCUGGACUCCUUAGGUUUUAUCAAUCCUGGUGCCCUUCCAUUGUAUCACAUCCUUGGAUCACAGUGAUGGGUUCAGGAAUAGACACAUGACCCAAGGGAGGCUAAUCAGGUGAAUAUAGGGAGAUGUUCUUUCUUUCUUAAGGUGGCUACGUUUAGGACAUGAGCCAGGGUUGCCAGUGUCACCCAUCACAUGUACCAUAUGAAUAACUCUUGUCUAAGAUCUGGCAAGAGAUGGUGGAGCCUAAUGACAUUGUUAAAGAUCCUGGAUACAGCCAUACCUGAAGCGUAUCCAGAAUUCCGGCUGAGUAUCUGUACUAGUCAAUGUUCUCCAAAUAAUAUACACAGGCAUAACUCAGAGAUACUGUAGGUUUGGUUGCAGGCCACCUCAAUAAAACAAAUAUUGCAAUAAAGUGGGUCAUAGGAAUUUUUGAUUUCCCAGUGCACGUAAAAGUUACACUAUAGUGUAUUAAGUGUGCAAUACCAUUACAUCUAAAAACCACUGUACAUACCUUAAUUAAAAAUACUUUAUUGCUAGCAAUCAUCUGAGCCUUCUGCAAAUUGUAAUCUUUUUGCUCGUGGAGGGUCAUGCCUUGAUGUUUAUGGCUGCUGACUCAUUAGGGUGGUGGUUGCUGAAGGUUGGGGUGGCUGUGGCAGUUUCUUAAAAUAUGACAACAAUAAAGUUGGCCACAUUGAUGGACUCUUUCAUUAAAGAUUUCAUGGAAGCAUA